UUCCAGACGAAACAGCAGAUGACCAAAGCAUUCAUCUUUUCCUGGACUCCAGCGAUUCAGAGUCAGUGCAAGAUGAUGAAGACAUCUCCUGUUAUGUGAUAUCCUCGCAACUCGAAAAUGUGGAGGCUUUGUUGGACAUGGAGCAUACAGAGGAUGCCACAAGUGUUUGAAGACGUUCAGCAAGAAAGAAUUUGGUGAAAAAAUGGACUACUCAGGAUUUGAGUGGUCUUCAUGGGAGCCAUGCACGUCAAAGGAUCACACACACUAUGCUGGAUUAUCCAAAAGGGCAAGGACGAAGGCAGAACAGAAAAGAAUUGAACGCAAGUAUGGAGCUAGAUGGUCAGAACUUUUCUGCUUGAGUUACUAUGAUGCCAUCAGAUUUGUCGUCAUAGAUCCAAUGCACAACCUUCUCCUUGGUACGGCAAGACAUGUUUUCAGACUGUGGACAGAACUAGGAAUUUUAACAACAAAAAGCCUUGAUGAACUUCAAGCUAGAGUGGAAAACAUCAAAGUACCUUAUGGGUUGGAAGAAUUCCCUUACGGAUUUCAUCUGGCUUUACAGGAUUUACAGCAGAUCAGUGGAAAACCUGGACAACCAUUUACUCACUGUUUUGUCUGAAGGGGCUUAUCAACAACAGACACCAUGGUAUGUGGUUUGACUUUGUGCAGGCUUGUAUCAUACUCUGCUCCAGAGUCAUAUCCAUCAAUAGACUGGAAGUAGCUGAUGGAUACCUGCAGACAUUUCUCUCAAAAUUUGUCGAACUGUUUGGCCCAUUGCACUGCACCCCCAACAUGCAUUUACAUCUUCAUUUGAAAGAGUGCAUGUUGGAUUACGGACCAGUUUAUUCUUUUUGGUGUUUUUCAUUUGAGAGUUUUAAUGGAAUACUGGGAAAGUUUAAUAACAACAAUAGGACAAUUGAAGUCCAGAUUAUGAGGCAAUUUCAGCAGAGCCAACAGCUUCAUAUGCCAUGGACAUGUGAAUA